GAGUUUGAUCUUGGCUCAGAUUGAACGCUGGCGGCAUGCCUUACACAUGCAAGUCGAACGGAUGACGGGAGCUUGCUCCUUGUGGCGAGUGGCGAACGGGUGAGUAAUGCAUCGGAACGUAUCCUGGAGUGGGGGAUAACGUAGCGAAAGUUACGCUAAUACCGCAUAUUCUGUGAGCAGGAAAGCGGGGGACCUUCGGGCCUCGCGCUCUUGGAGCGGCCGAUGUCGGAUUAGCUAGUUGGUGAGGUAAAGGCUCACCAAGGCGACGAUCCGUAGCAGGUCUGAGAGGAUGAUCUGCCACACUGGAACUGAGACACGGUCCAGACUCCUACGGGAGGCAGCAGUGGGGAAUUUUGGACGAUGGGGGCAACCCUGAUCCAGCCAUGCCGCGUGAGUGAAGAAGGCCUGGUCGUAAG
rnacentral:rRNA from 1 species